rnacentral:misc_RNA from 1 species
GCCACUGAAAUUAGAGAAUUACAGGCAGAUGCAGAUUAACUACGUUAAUCUAAUUGAGUGAGGCAGUGAGCUAAUGGAUCAAGGCUAGUUUGCAAAUUACAAUACCGACAUCAAGUUCACAUUCUUGAGCAGAAACAACAAAAUAGUCAGGCAAUUAAGGAUUGCGUAUGGAGAAUUAUCAUUUUCUAGCAGACUUAGUACCUAGCUAAGAUAUGAAAGGAGAUCUAGUAACCUGAUCAAUAGCGGAAGGGUUCUUGCCAU